GCAUGAACCACUCCCCUCCCUCUCCUCGCGCAAGCAUCCUCUCCUCCUACCCUCGCACGCGCUAGGGUUCCUGCGCUGCCGCCACACGGGAGCUUGUCGACCAGCCCAGCGUCCUCCGGAUCGCCGCCGCCCCUCACCUGAUCGCCGCCGCCCCUCACCUGAUCGCCGCCGUCACCGCCCCGGAUCGCCACCUUCGCUUUCGGAAUCGCUGCAAACGUCUCGUCGCCCCGGAUCGCCGCUAUCACCGGGCCAUGGCGGUGGAGGUCGACGACACUCGGAAGCACAGGGUGGCGGCUUUCCUGGACGACCCCUUCCAGGUGAUGCAGGCGAAGCGGGGCCGGUGCUCACCGUCCGCCACCGCGGACUCGGUCGCCGACCUCGGCAUCAACAUGGAGUUCGACCCCGUCGAGGCGGUCCAGUUCGUCUUCCCCGGCGCCGAUCCGCAGCUUCCGCGGGGCUAUCUCGAAGCGUCGGGAAAUGUCUUGGAUGCUGCCAUCAGAAGCUUCAGGGAUUAUUUGGCAUCGGAUUCAGCAACGACCAAUGCUGGUGCCUCCUCAUCUGGAGUGGCAUCUGAUGUGCCGGUGAUGAAUACUCCAGCCAACAGGAUUGAAUGGGUAGAGCUAAUUGUCAAGGAGAUGUCGUCCGCUUCAGAUCUGAAUCACGCCAGGAAUCGAGUCUUCAGGAUACUUGAAAUGUUCGACAAAUGUGCUGCAAACUACAGUACUCCUGAUGAGGCGCAUAAAAUGCGUGAGAUGAAGGGCACGACGGAUGGCGCCGGCGGGAAGGUGAGCAGCGGUGGAGAUAAGCAAGGAAAGGAGUAGUGUGAGGCGGUUGGCGGUGUUGAAGAGGAUGAGAGGGCCGCACACUCGGUGCCAUGCUACUGGAGGGCCCGCUGCUGGAGGACGUCCUAGGGAUUUUUGGAUCAAUGACAGUAACAUUGGCGACACAUAUCUUCUUCCAUCUCUGGAUCCUGAAUCUACAGUUCUGUAAUCAUCAAAUACACGCAGUAGUGAUGGUACAAUUGCAUGGUUGUGACUGCCGACCAGUACACGAGUGGGGCUGCCGUUCUCCUACCGGUGAAAUUUGAAACUUCCCUUGAGAGAUGCUAAAGUACUAUUUAUUUGACCGGUUUGGUGUACAUUGACCUUUACCGCCUGAAUGUUAUGAAUUAUAUUCGUGGUGGAUGAUAUGAAUGUUGGGGAGGUGAUGGAGAAGUAUGGCAAGGAACUUGUGAAGGCUGAGGGCAUGGAGAAGAAGGGGAGAAUCUAAGUGGGAGGCUGACAUUAGCGAAGGAGAAGGCUAGAUGAGUGUUGGCAUUGGCCGACAAUGGGUCAUUGCAGAUGGCAUUCACUGAAUUACUCAAGGAAUUGAAGCUCCCAAAAUGAUCAAAUAAAUAAGAUAGCAAUGAGACAUAGAAUGUUGUGUUAUUAAUUAUCUUUGUCCUCAAAAAGGAUGUCGUGAUAGUAGUCGUGCUUUGCCUAUAAGUUGCUUCAACAACUAUAUUCUUGAAAUGAUGUGCCAUAGGUAGGUGGAAAAACUAAGAAAUACAAGCAUUCCUCUGUGUGUGUGAGAGAGUGCUCUACACGCUGCCUUUAUGGAUUAAACCGGUGCUCUAAUUAAAUGAUAAAUUGAGUGUACUUUUUUUUC